AGCAGUCGCCGCGGGAAUACGGAGGGUGCAAGCGUUAAUCGGAAUUACUGGGCGUAAAGCGUGCGUAGGCGGUGAGUUAAGUCUGCUGUGAAAUCCCCGGGCUCAACCUGGGAAUGGCAGUGGAUACUGGCUCGCUAGAGUGUGUCAGAGGAUGGUGGAAUUCCCGGUGUAGCGGUGAAAUGCGUAGAGAUCGGGAGGAACAUCAGUGGCGAAGGCGGCCAUCUGGGACAACACUGACGCUGAAGCACGAAAGCGUGGGGAGCAAACAGGAUUAGAUACCCCAGUAGUCCCUGUCUCUUAUAC
rnacentral:rRNA from 1 species